CUUUAGUGGCGGACGGGUGAGUAACGCGUGGGUAACCUGCCUUACACAGGGGGAUAACACUUAGAAAUAGGUGCUAAUACCGCAUAAGCGCACAGUCCCGCAUGGGACAGUGUGAAAAACUGAGGUGGUGUAAGAUGGACCCGCGUCUGAUUAGCUAGUUGGUGGGGUAACGGCCCACCAAGGCGACGAUCAGUAGCCGGCCUGAGAGGGUGGACGGCCACAUUGGGACUGAGACACAGCCCAAACUCCUACGGAAGGCAGCAG
rnacentral:rRNA from 1 species